AUUCGCCAGGCGCGCGUCCCCGCCUCCUGUCUGGGCCGCGGCUUCACGUAAUGGCGGAGAUGAGUUUCAUUUUAUACGGCAAGGGCGAUACUUCCGAAGGCAGUUACUGAAGCCUCCCGGUCCCUCCAAGCACGAGGAGACCUAGCAACGUUUCAGAACCGAAGGGUUACACCGUGUUCCUGUGUCUGAAGUUCUUCCUGCUGCUACCACCAAGCUACAACUAAGGAGUAAUAUAUUUCAUGGGUUCUCUAGCUUCAACACCUUUUCCAGAUCUGGGCCACAGCCUCACUCUUUAUGAAAAAGAGCAUUGCAAGAGUACCACCCAGGCCACUGAAAACGACAAUGGCUCACAAUAGAUGCCAGACAUUGUGAGUAUCCACAGAUGACAGUGUAACUCAACAAAUAAACUGGCAGAUUUGGACUACUGGGGAAAUGCAUCUUUCCAUUCCAGAAUGUCUUCUCAAGCAGCAAGAAUUGGGCCAGGGCUGUAAGACAGUGCUACCACACGGAGUCAGUGCUGUGCUCCGUGUCCUGUAAUAAGCAGCCGAGUGCCCAGCUGGUGUUCCUCUCGCACUCUGGGCUUAUCUCAACCAUGGACUUAACUCGUUGUACCACACCUUCUGGUCUGCCUCCUGCACUAAUGCCAUGUGAGUUCCCAAGGGCAGAAUGCAUCAUGCCUUACAACUCUGUAUCUCAGGUCCCAGCUCAGUGCUAACACCUGGUAGAUACUCCACAAAUGUUUGCAGACAGAAGAAUGCAAAGCAUGCUUAACUGUCCAAAUAGAAGGAAUAGCCGCUGUUUUCUAUAAUAUACUAUAAUUUCAUUGUCA